UACAGAGGUCUCAAGCGUUGUUCGGUAUUCGAUUAGGGGCGUAAAGGGUGCGUAGGCGGCACCGCAAGUCGACUAGUCGAAAUCUCCGGGCUUAACUCGGAAAGGUCAGCCGAUACUGCGGGGCUAGAGUGCAGAAGGGGCAAACUGGAAUUCUCGGUGUAGCGGUGAAAUGCGUAGAUAUCGAGAGGAACACCUGCGGUCGAAGG
rnacentral:rRNA from 1 species